rnacentral:lncRNA from 1 species
GGCGCUUCGAGCUCUGAGCAACGUCGAUUGUAGAGGUAGCAUGUGACACGUGCGGAUAAAUCUGGAAAAGAAGAUUUGCCCGUGGGUUGAAGCCCAGCUUUUGAGAAAGCUAGCGUGUCUUUGACUGUUGAAUUUCCCUCUUCGAUUUCUGAAUUGGUGCUUCGACAAACUGCCCGAGAAUUUCGCAAAGCAAUUUACGUGUGACAAGUGACGACACGUCUGGACAAAUUGAUCUUUUGAAAUCCGGGGUUCGGCUCGUGGUUUCUGAGCAAGCCCAGCCUUUAAGAAAUGAAACGCCUCUUUUGAGAAAAGAAUCCGGCUUUUGAGAAAGGAGCCCCGACUCUUCGAUUUGCGAGAGGACGCUUCUCUGAGGAGCGCCUCUCCGAUUUCUUCUUUUUAUAGAGGCGUUAAUUUUGUUCCACAACACACUUGAGCACCCUCCUGUAAACACUCCCUUCUUGCACUUGUUUAAUCUUGAUCAUUCCGACUCUCUUCUUUCUUCACCACCUCUGAAAAAUGUCUGGCCCUUCUGAUCGUCGUUUUGACUUGAACAUUG